rnacentral:rRNA from 1 species
GUGAGGAAUUUUCCGCAAUGGGCGAAAGCCUGACGGAGCAAUGCCGCGUGAAGGAUGAAGGCCUAUGGGUUGUAAACUUCUUUUCUCAGAAAAGAAUUAUGACGGUAUCUGAGGAAUAAGCAUCGGCUAACUCUGUGCCAGCAGCCGCGGUAAGACAGAGGAUGCAAGCGUUAUCCGGAAUGAUUGGGCGUAAAGCGUCUGUAGGUUGUUUAAAAAGUAUUAUGUCAAAGAUUAGGGCUUAACCCUAGAUAGGCAGAAUAAACUUUUAAGCUAGAGUUUGGUAGAGGCAGAGGGAAUUCCCGGUGGAGCGGGGAAAUGCGUAGAUAUCGGGAGGAACACCAAAGGCGAAGGCACUCUGCUGGGCCAAUACUAACACUGAGAGACGAAAGCGAGGGGAGCAAAUGGGAUUAGAUACCCGGGUAGUCC